UGCCAGCUGACGAGUCCCAAAUAGGACGGAACACGCGUCCCGGAU
rnacentral:hammerhead_ribozyme from 1 species